GGGCGCUGCAGCAGCUACAAAGACGACGCCGGCUGCGCUCGGGGGACCGGAGGGAGGGAGGCUGCGGACGAGUGCGGGGAGGAGUUUGAGGUGGGAGGUGCUUGCAGGGGCUCCCCCAGUUCUGCGCUGUGAGCCGGGGCACAAAGAGCCCUCUGCACUCGCGCCGCAGGACCGCAGACCCGAGCACGCCCCAUUUCCCCAGAGCCUGCCAUUCCUUCACUUCUGGGACUCAAAUCCCACAUGUCCGGCGUCCAAUUUGGCUCCCAAAGGAUGGAGAGGGCCGGUAAAUUACCGUCGCUGAAAACAACAGUGACAUCAGUUUAUGGAGAGGUUACUCUACGCCAGGGACCUGCUUGGUGCUUUGCAAACGUUAUCACAACAAUUCCACUAGGUGGUCCUUUCUCUGGCUGUGACCCAUGCUUCUUCCCCGGGCAGGAUGACACUCUCUGAAUUUCCUUAUUCAUCACGGCAGUGCCAUGUGGUGGAAGGAGACGCAGCUGAGAGUUAGGCAGUUGGAGGCAUCUGUCCACCCACAUGGUUCCAGAAACCUUCAUGUGGCCACCAUGACCCCACUGGCAUCAUGGGAGUAGCCAAGGUCCACAGAGCCAGGGGAAACAGUCACUGUGGACCAAGCAGGCUCCUCUGAGCAGACCAGGCUCUAUUUACAGAGAGCAGCAAGUUCCUGGGACAGAGGAGAGAGAAGGGAAUUUCCAGGCUCUUCAGGACGUUCACAACCACGCUGAGAAGCAUCCUUGCAGAUAAGUACUUAAGCUCACCAGCCCCUAGCCUACCAGCCUGCCGUCUUCUGCUCUGUGCAGGAAAGUGUGGUAUCCUAGAAUCCCACAGCGGCGGGGGGGAAAUGGGUGAGGUAGUUCAUUCACUUUUCUACCUCUAUGGAAGAAAGAAAGCGCUUGUCCCAUUUUAAGGGGUCCCAGAAAGGGUGACUUUCACACUCCCCUUUUGGCAUCAGGGCUAGUGUUUCAUAAACGUCACCGUCUGGAGCUUUUGGAUGGCUGAGUUAAAUGACUUCAUCUCGUGUGCCUGUAAAUCUGCUAUUAGAAGGAGCCUGGGGACUCCUGGGUGAUGUGAACGGGCUCUUCCCUUCUUAGUUUUGGCAUUUUGUUAUCCUAUUUAUAAGCCUUGGCUUGGGUUCCUUGGCCUUGCAGUUUGGUGGAGACUUUGCCCUGUGCCUUUAGGUGCAUUUUUCUCAGUGCCAGAGUCUGAGUUCGUCUCCUACUCUGGACCCGUGCCCCCACUCCUAGGUGCUGACAGCAAGCCCUGAAAAUACGCUGAGAAGGCUCCCUGACUCUCCUGACUCAGGUCUGCCACCGAUGAAGACAGCACAGCUGUUACCCAAGGCAAAACCUGGCAGGUGGCGCUGGGUCAGGAUUAGCGGUCAUUCUCUGGUCUUCUCCAGAUUGAUGACACAGGUUGGUCUUAAAGGAGUCCUACUCCAGCCUCUGGCUCCCCGAAUUUCCCCUGGCGCAUGGCACAUCAGGAAAGGGCAGGGGAGAAGGACGGGAGCAGAAAAAUAGCUGAGGCUGGGCAGAAGGGGCCCUUCCGUUUCCGUCCACUGCUUCAAACCAUGAGUUACUGUUGUGCACCUUGAAUGUCAAGGCAGGAAGGGUCCCAGGGCCACCCGGUGUGGCAGGAGCAGAGCUGGGAUCAGAAUUCUGGAUUCCCAACUCUCCAUUCAGCUGCAAUUCAGCUGCAGUUCACCAAGCUGCUCAGUUUUUCCUCCUUUCUCCCUGGUUGCAUUCUGCUGCUGUUGGGAAACAGGGCAUGAGUGAAGGGAAUCCCUCUCCCCUCUCCCCUCACUUUUUCCUUAAAAAUGUUGCGGGGUGGAGUAAAGGGAGGCGGAGGGCGGUGUGCCUGAGUCCAGCUUUCCUGGCUCCGGGGCCUUCUGUCUUCGGCAGGGAGCUCUGGCAAAGCCUGAGCCUGGGGAGAGGGCCUGGGUGCGGGUUUCUCCUGCCAUGUGGUUGGCUCUUUUGUCUUCCAGGAUGGGCUUGUGGGGUCUUUGUGGGGAAGGAAGGAGCUGGGAGCCUGGGCUGCCUGUGUGCUGGCUGCAUGCUGCCAGCCCCGGCAUGGACCAAGCACCUUCUCUGAGCCAGACGCUGGGGAUGCAGAGGUGAACCCAGAGACGUGGUCCCGUCUGCUCGGAUCUUCAUGUCAGAACACGCUUCAUUACGGUCUCAGCGCGGGGGUGGCUCCGUCUGGGCUGAAUCUCAGGGACUCCUGGCCUGGCCUUCUCUUUGGACCUCGGGUGACUCUGGACUCUGGCCACCGUGACUUAGCGGGCAGACUGUGAUGGUUUUCUAGCCCCCUCACCUGUUGGGAUGCAGCCUCCCAUGGACAGGAGCUCUUCCUGGCUGGUGCUUGACGACUGGAUCUGGCUCCAGGGGUAUGAGGGAGGCCUGGCAGCCCACCACUCCCUCCUCACCUGCUCGGGCCCUGCCGGCUGGGCCCUAUUGUCUGGGGCUGGGGGCCGUUUCCUGACCCCAUGUGAACUUGGUUCCUCCUUGAGUUUCUGCCGGUGACCAGACAGAGCCUGGCCUGGGCCAAGACCCCACUGACCACACUCUCCCCAGGGCUGGGUCUCAAAUGACCCUGCAGGAUGGGGACAGGAACAGGGAUGGGAGUCGGGGAGGGGCUGUCAGUGGGAGGGCAGAUGCAGCUC